rnacentral:pre_miRNA from 1 species
CUCAGGGUGGGGGUCCCUCAGCCCAGAUUGGGAGAGGGUGCAGGCCAGGCGGAAGGACCCCACCAGUGCAAG